rnacentral:lncRNA from 1 species
AUGACUUCCUGCUCAGAGUUACUGAUAAUAUUUUUUGGAAUGCUGAAUAUGUGCCCAGUCCUGUGCUGGUCCCUUUGCAUAUUAUCUCACCUGUAUAAUGUGCCAGGAAGAUGGGCGGAAGCUCUUUCUCAAGCCUCUCCUAACUCCAGGCACCAGGAUGCUGACAUGCCACCAGAGGAAAGUGUGGCCUUGGGGAAUGUGAUUUUCUCUGCCUGCUCUUUUUAUCUUCACCAUCAGCAGCCUGGCUUCCUUGGCAUGGACGCAAGCAUGGUCAUCAAGAUUUCCCAGGUUUCCUGUCCUACAGCUUUCACCACUAUCGACAGACUGCAGAUGUUUCUCGGUUAUAGACCGAAAAGUCCCAGAGAAGAAUGCUGAUUGGCUCCUCCUCAACCACUUGCCCAAUCCUGGAGCUUCCCAGUGUUGCCAGGAGAGCAGAGAUUGUCAGAAAAGUUGAAAUCAUGGCUCUAUCUAUUCUGAAUGCCCUAAUCAGAUAGGAACAAAGGGGGAGAUGGAGAUUUUCUACCCUGACCUGGAUUGGAGUUACACAGGCAACUGCUUUGCAAUUACUUGUUAAUCUAUGCAUUUAUAUUGUAAACAUUUUUCAGUAUGAAUGCUCUAUUUCACGACAGUUGUUUAUUUUUCUUUAAGUUCAGUUCUGGAUCUAAAUGAAAAAACAAAAGUUAUCCAUAAAAAAUAUCCAAUUUUGCUCCUUAAAAAUGAUGUCUUGGGGCGGGGGCGAGGGGGCGCUGCCUCAACUCUGCACCUCCAUUUUUUCCUUUGGUGACAGCAAGUUGAUCAUAGCCCCCAUCGGGCUUGUCCCAAGGAAUAGCUGAGAAAGUGCCUAACAGAGGAUCUUUUAAGUUUUUAAAUAUAUGUAUGUAUGUAUAUUAUAUGCAUAUUAAUACACAGCUGUAGAAGAUGAAAAUAUAAGUCAUUGACAUCAAGGAAAGGAGAGGGAAACGAAUUCUGAAUCAUGUUCCUUAACAGCCCUCUUUUCUUAUUUCUCUAAAAGGGCAGAGGGAGCAGGGGAGGGACUUGGACUCAAGACGAUAUCAUUCAAAUUAACUAAUUUGACAGGAGGAGGAUCCUAAUAACCAGCAAACCCCCAGAUUUCCCAAAGAAGAGCCACCAGGUAGUGUGGGAGUCCCCUGGUAUAUUUGGGAGCCCCAGUGGAAUACAGAGGACUUGAAGAACUCUUUAAUUCCCCUCUCCUUCUGGCCUGAAGAAAAUGAGUCCAGGCUUGGAGAACAGACUUGUGGUUGCCAAGGGGGAGAGGGAGGGAAUGGGAUAGACUGGGAAUCUGGGGUUAACAGAUGCAAACUAUUGCUUUUGGAAUGGACAAGCAAUGAGAUCCUGCCACGUAGCACUGAGAACUGUAUCUGGUGAUGGAGCAGGAUGGAGGAUGAUGUGAGAAAAAGAAUGUGUAUGUGUAUGUGUGACCGGGUCACUUUGCUGUCCAGGAGCAAAUUGACAGAACACUGUAAACCAACUAUAAUGGAAAAAAUAAAAAUCAUUAAAAAGAAAGAAAG